rnacentral:rRNA from 1 species
UACGGGGGGAGCAAGCGUUGUUCGGAUUUACUGGGCGUAAAGCGCACGUAGGCGGAUAUUUAAGUCGGGGGUGAAAUCCCGGGGCUCAACCCCGGAACUGCCUUCGAUACUGGGUAUCUUGAGUUCGGAAGAGGUGAGUGGAAUUGCGAGUGUAGAGGUGAAAUUCGUAGAUAUUCGCAGGAACACCAGUGGCGAAGGCGGCUCACUGGUCCGAUACUGACGCUGAGGUGCGAAAGCGUGGGGAGCAAACAGG